UCCAUAGUUGUUCUGUGGUGGCGGCGCUCCUCCAUAGUUGCUCUGUAGUGGCGGCGUCCCUCCAUACUUGUUCUGUGGUGGCGGCGCUCCUCCAUAGUUGUUCUGUGGUGGCGGCGCUCCUCCAUAGUUGUUCUGUGGUGGCGGCGCUCCUGCAUAGUUGUUGGGCGGUGGUGUUCCACCAUAGUUGUUGGGCGGUGGUGUUCCACCAUAGUUGUUGGGCGGUGGUGUUCCACCAUAGUUGUUCUGCGGCAUCCCUCCGAGGUUGUUCUGUGGCAUCCCUCCGAGGUUGUUCUGUGGCAUCCCUCCAAGGUUGUUCUGUGGCAUGCUUCCCAUAUUUGGUGACAUGUUGCUGCUGGAAGGGACGUUGUUAGGGGGCAUGCCACUCAUAUUAGGUGCAGGGUUUGGCAUACCCUGGUUCUGAAAAUUGCGGUUCUGCAUGUUCUCCCUUCUUCUUUCAAAGUUUCUAGAUCUAUCGUAGCUGCGAGGCCUAUCAUUGCGCCUAUUACGCUCAUUAGC
rnacentral:lncRNA from 1 species